AGAGUUUGAUCCUGGCUCAGAACGAACGCUGGCGGCAGGCCUAACACAUGCAAGUCGAGCGCCCAGCAAUGGGAGCGGCGGACGGGUGAGUAACACGUGGGAAUUUUCCUCAAGGUACGGAACAACUCAGGGAAACUUGGGCUAAUACCGUAUGAUGCAGAGAUGCCAAAGAUUUAUCGCCUUGGGAUAAGCCCGCGUCAGAUUAGGUAGUUGGUGGGGUAAUGGCCUACCAAGCCUGUGAUCUGUAGCUGGUCUGAGAGGACGAUCAGCCACAUUGGGACUGAGACACGGCCCAAACUCCUACGGGAGGCAGCAGUGGGGAAUCUUGCGCAAUGGGCGAAAGCCUGACGCAGCCAUGCCGCGUGAAUGAUGAAGGUCUUAGGAUUGUAAAGUUCUUUCGCCCGUGACGAUGAUGACGGUAACGGGAGAAGAAGCCCCGGCUAACUUCGUGCCAGCAGCCGCGGUAAUACGAAGGGGGCUAGCGUUGUUCGGAAUUACUGGGCGUAAAGCGCGCGUAGGCGGUUUUGCAAGCCAGAGGUGAAAUGCCCGAGCUCAACUUGGGAAUUGCCUUUGGGACUGUGAGGCUUCGAGGACGGAAGAGGUGAGUGGAAUUCCCAGUGUAGAGGUGAAAUUCGUAGAUAUUGGGAAGAACACCGGUGGCGAAGGCGGCUCACUGGUCCGUUUCUGACGCUGUAGCGCGAAAGCGUGGGGAUCAAACAGGAUUAGAUACCCUGGUAGUCCACGCUGUAAACGAUGAGUGCUAGGCGUCGGCAGGCUUGCCUGUCGGUGCCGCAGCUAAC
rnacentral:rRNA from 1 species